GAUGAACGCUGACAGAAUGCUUAACACAUGCAAGUCGAUGGGGAAGUGGUGCUUGCACCAUGGCAACCAUGGCGGACGGGUGAGUAACGCGUAAGGGACUUACCUGCAGGACUGGGAUAACAGGGGGAAACUCCUGACAAGACCGGAUAAUGUCAUGGAGCUGCAUGGCUUUAUGAUGAAAGGAGACGCCUGCGGAGAGCCUUGCGUCCUAUUAGCUAGUUGGUGAGGUAAUGGCUCACCAAGGCGAAGAUAGGUAGCCGGCCUGAGAGGGUGGACGGCCACAAGGGGACUGAGAUACCGCCCUUACUCCUACGGGAGGCAGCAGUGGGGAAUAUUGGACAAUGGGGGCAACCCUGAUCCAGCAAUUCUGUGUGCACGAAGAAGGUUUUCGGAUUGUAAAGUGCUUUCAGCAGGGAAGAAGUAAGUGACGGUACCUGCAGAAGAAGCGACGGCUAAAUACGUG
rnacentral:rRNA from 1 species